rnacentral:other from 2 species
UCCGCCCUGCAAAGAGCGUGAUGGUAUCAACUAAAUUUGAACCAACACUUAUUUGAUAGGGAGUCCGACUUUCUGUGCGGUGUGCGGGCCUUACCCCUUUUCGGGGUCCCGAGGUCCCCUAAAGCGCGGAUCAGGACGCCCACCUGUGUGAACAGGUUCAAAUAGGUGAGCCACACGCCUGUUGCGGGGUUUUU